rnacentral:rRNA from 1 species
AUUGAACGCUGGCGGCAGGCCUAACACAUGCAAGUCGAACGAGUGGCGGACGGGUGAGUAAUGUCUGGGAAACUGCCUGAUGGAGGGGGCUAACUACUGGAAACGGUAGCUAAUACCGCAUACCAUCGGAUGUGCCCAGAUGGGAUUAGCUUGUUGGUGGGGUAACGGCUCACCAAGGCGACGAUCCCUAGCUGGUCUGAGAGGAUAACCAGCCACACUGGAACUGAGACACGGUCCAGACUCCGACGGGAGGCAGCAGUGGGGAAUAUUGCACAAUGGGCGCAGGCCUUAGGCAGCCAUGCCGCGUGUAUGAAGAAGGCCGUCGGUUUGUAAAGUACUUUCAGCGAGGAGGCGUUACCCGCAGAAGAAGCACCGGCUAACUCCGUGCCAGCCGCCGCGGUAAUUC